GGACUUGGCUCCUCUCCGGUAGCCAAUCGGUCCAGUUGCUCCAGUCAUGAUAAGCACCGUCGGGACUGGUGGCGUUCGAAUAAGCAGCUAUCUCCGGCUGCCGUACACGGUGGAGACACUUCUCCGCCGCCGUUGCCGUCUCUUCACCUCCUGCUCUGCCUCCUCUACCAAAGAGAAAGUUAUUGUCAUUUCCGGACCUACCGGUGCCGGUAAAAGCAAGCUAGCAUUAGAGCUCGCUAAGCGACUCAAUGGUGAAAUCAUCAGUGCGGACUCUGUACAGGUGUAUCGAGGGCUUGAUGUCGGUUCAGCGAAGCCUUCCUUUGAUGAAAGAAAGGAAGUAGUACAUCAUCUGGUUGACAUAUUGCAUCCAUCCGAAGAGUAUUCUGUUGGACAAUUUUUUGAGGAUGCUAGGCAAACUACCAGAGAUAUCCUUGAUAGGGGCCGUGUUCCAAUAGUCGCGGGUGGUACUGGAUUAUAUUUGCGAUGGUUUAUUUAUGGGAGGCCAGAUGUUCCGAAAGCCUCUCGAGAGAUUGCUGCUGAAGUUGACUCAGAGCUUGCAAGUUUACAGAAUGAUGAAGACUGGAAUGCUGCUGUUCAGUUGUUGGUUAAAGCUGGUGAUCCUGGUGCCCAGUCUUUACCGGCAAAUGAUUGGUAUCGCUUGCGUCGCAGGCUUGAAAUUGUUAAGUCUACUGGGUCACCUCCAUCCGCUUUUGAAGUACCAUAUAAUUCUUUCAGAGAACAGCUAGUAUCAGGUCAAAUAGAUGCUGCUGAAGUCAAGACUUCUGCUGACAAAUUGCAGCAGAAUGAAAUAAAGGAUUUGGAUUAUGAUUUUCUUUGUUAUUUCCUUUCCACCAAUAGGAUAGAUCUUUAUAGAUCAAUUGAUUUUCGGUGUGAAGAUAUGCUCUUAGGAGCAGAUGGAAUUCUAUCUGAGGCAGGGUGGCUUCUUGAUGUGGGUCUUUUGCCGAACUCGAGUUCUGCUACUCGAGCAAUUGGUUACCGACAAGCAAUGGAAUACCUUCUAAGAUGUAGGGAAAAUGGAGGAUGGAGUUCAGCUGGGGACUUCUAUGAAUUUUUAUCUGAAUUUCAGAAAGAAUCACGAAAUUUUGCAAAAAGGCAGAUGACAUGGUUUCGCAAUGAACAGAUUUAUGAGUGGAUAGAUGCUUCUAAACCUUUGGAAAAGGUGCUUAGCUUUAUAUGUGAUUCGUAUAACAGUCAGGAUGGCCAUUUCCAGAUGCCUGAGUCACUUCGUAUGCGGAAAGAUAUAAGAAAUCACCGUCAAUCUGCAGAAUUGAAGACCUAUCGUACAAUAAACAGGCAUUUCAUUGGGCGUGAAGAUUGUGUGGAUGUUCUGGACUGGAUAAAGAAGACAUAUGGCCAACCGACUGACUCUCUUUGUUAACCAACAUCUAAAGGACCGUCUUUCACUUCAAGUUGUCAAAAUCAAAACAUCCAAAAGUUGUUCUCGUUGUUAUCGAGUAUUGCGAAGGUUGAGGUUGUUAAAAUUGAAGAAGGUUGCAGCUAAUGAGGCCGCCGAGCUGUGGCUGGGGAUGUCAAUCUGCAUCUGGGAAAUUUUGUACUUGUAGGAUUCUGUUCAAGAACUCUAUUUGCCAGAAAAUCAUACAUUUCCCAAAUUUGUGACUUUUUUUGAGCCAUGUAUAUUUAUUUGCAGUUGUUCUAUAUAAUAAUGCACUUAAGUUCUUAU